AACAAAUUUUUCUGUCCCUAGGUCUUGUU
rnacentral:sRNA from 1 species